AGAAUCAACGCUGGCGGCGUGCCUAACACAUGCAAGUCGAACGAGAAAGGGUAGCAAUACCUGAGUAAAGUGGCGCACGGGUGAGUAACACGUGACUAACCUACCCUGGAGUGGGGGAUAACUGAGGGAAACCUUAGCUAAUACCGCAUAACACCUACGGGUCAAAGGAGCAAUUCGCUUCAGGAGGGGGUCGCGGCCGAUUAGUUAGUUGGCGGGGUAAUGGCCCACCAAGACAGUGAUCGGUAUCCGGCCUGAGAGGGCGCACGGACACACUGGAACUGAAACACGGUCCAGACUCCUACGGGAGGCAGCAGUGGGGAAUUUUGCGCAAUGGGGGAAACCCUGACGCAGCAACGCCGCGUGGAGGAUGAAGUCCCUUGGGAUGUAAACUCCUUUCGACCGGGAAGAUACUGACGGUACCGGUAGAAGAAGCACCGGCUAACUCUGCGCCAGCAGCCGC
rnacentral:rRNA from 1 species